CGGCAGACGCGCGGAGUGAUUUGCGGAGUCGGCGGAGGACCCGCCGCUCGCGGCUUGUACUUUUGGGACGAGUUGUCAGCGCUGUUAAUGCUGGAACGAGCUGAGCCGCGCAGCGGCUGUGGGAGCGCGGACUGUUGAUGUGGACCGGACCGCUGGGACCUGGCAGGACGCCGGAGAAGCAGAAGGAAUCAACCUGGAGCCCUAUGCGGAUUCUCGACUUCCACUCUGGUUCCCAAAGAGGGAGGGCAUCAUUGCUCAGGUGACCAGAGAACAAGGGAAGAGUAGCUGUUGGACAGCUAAGAUUUUUAUCCAAGGGAUCGAACCCAUGUCCCCUGCAGUGGAAGCACGGAGUCUGAACCACUUGGACCUCCAGGGAAGUACCACCAAAUUUUUUAAAUGA
rnacentral:lncRNA from 1 species